UCGUCUAGUGGAUAAGUGUCUUGUAACUAUUGUGGAUGACAUGUUAGAGAUGCACGAUCUGAUAGUGGAAAUGGGUAAAGAUAUUGCUCGGCGGGAGGGUAUCAUAUUAUGCAAUUCUAAUGACAUCUGUGAUAUGUUGACCUCAACUAAUAAUAAGGCAAAUGAAGCAGUUGAAGGCCUACUUUUGAACAUGUCUGAAAUUGGAAGGCUAUAUUUGAAUGAUUCAGUCUUCUUACGAAUGCCCAACUUGAGAUCGCUUAAAUUUUACAGGGAUCGCUCAAAUUUUACUGAAUUCAGAUUUCAAUCAAAUUAUCUAAAAAGUCUUCCUAAGAAGCUGAGUUUACUUCAUUGGGAAGAAUACCCUUUCAGGUCUUUGCCAUUAAGUUAUUCCAUGGAAAACCUUGUCCACCUCAUCAUGCCACGUAGCGAAGUUGAAGAGCUCUGGAAUGGAUCUACGUGUUUGCCAAACUUAAAAUCUCUUGAUCUUGCUUUCUCAAAGCAUCUGAAAAUAGUCCCUGAUUUUUCUAUGAUGACAAACCUGGAAGAGAUCAUUUUUGAUGGUUGUGAGAGUUUGAUUGAGAUUCCAUCAUCCAUUCAGCGCUUGAAAAGACUCGAUUCUCUUGAUCUAACUUAUUGCAAAAAGUUGAGAAGUCUUCCACAAAUGCCGAGAGGCAUAAAAUAUUUAGAACUAGCUAAUUCUGGAGUGGAAGAGUGGUCUCCGUCUUCUAUCCAAUUUCUUGACAAUCUUUUGGUCUUAGAUAUCACCCAUUGCCAAAAUCUUAGAAGUCUUCCAAGAAUUAUAUAUUGCAAUACUUUUAUAAGAAUUGAUAUCAGUUUCUGCCCAAAUCUCAUCAUGUCGCCGCAGAUUAUGGAAAGUUCAGAAGUAUUGCCCUCAUCAAAUAAUGGUAUUGUUGAGUUAGAUUUGAGAGGAUGUAAAAUGCUCAACAGUCUCCCAAAUAGCACUUGCGAAUUGAAACGCCUUGAGAUUCUGAAUCUCCAUGGCUGUUCAUAUCUUGAGAAACUGCCUCCUUUAUAUGGUUUAUGCUCCUUAAAGAAGCUAUAUCUAGAUGGCACUGCACUUGUAGAAAUUCCUCCUGACAUUGUUUCUUUGUCAUCAUUAGAAUUACUGUCUCUAAGUUAUACUCCAAUGGAAGAAUUGCCGUCAUCAAUUGGUUGUCUCUCUUCACUUGUUACUUUGUAUUUGAAGAGAUGUAAAAACCUUAAGAGUCUCCCAAGCAGCAUUUGUGAAUUGAAAUGUCUUGAGACUCUACAUCUCAGUGGCUGUUCAAAUCUAGAGAAAUUGCCUCCUUUAUAUGGUUUAUGCUCUUUACGAUAUAUAUAUCUAGAUGGCACUGCACUCGUAAAAAUUCCCCUUGGCGUUUUCUCUUUAUCAUCAUUGGGAGUAUUGUUUCUAAAUGAUACUCCAAUAGAAGAAUUGCCGUCAUCAAUUGGUUAUGAAUUGAAUUUUUGUAAUUGCGUAAAUUUGGACCAAAAUGCACGUGGCACCAUUAUGGCAGAUGCUAUCCAGAGAAUUAAAGAAUUAGCCAUUGCUAGAAGUUAUGGAGCAUUUUAUCCUCGUUUUUUGGUUGGUUUACUCGGAAGCAAAAUUCCUGAGUGGUUAAGCUGUGAAGGCCCAGGAUAUUUAAUAGAAACUUCGUUCCCUCCUGGUUGCUUCAAUAAUAUGUUCCUGGGUUUUGUUUUUUGUGCUAUUCUAGAAUUCAAGGAUCCUGUUUACUUUUGCUAUGGACCCUUAUCUUGUCUAAGCAGUUUCAAGAACAAUAAUGGCUACACAGAGGCCAAAUUUACAAGUGAAUAUUUCUGUUUGGAAAAUACCAUAGAAUCAGAUCAUGUGUUCUUUUGGUACGAUGGCCAUGACAUUUCCUUUUUAGAUUGGCUCAAACAAAAUUGUGACAUGGAGAAUAAGGCAACAUUCCACCUCUACCCUGAGUAUAUGUGCUCCGACCAUAUGAGAAAGUGGGAAGUGAAAAGGUUUGGGUUCCACUUGUUAUAUGACAAAGUUGAGCUAAACAAAUAUAGAGAAGCCAAUUUUCUGGAGCAAUUUAAAGAAACAACAAAUGCCGACAAUAAGAGAAGCAGGGAAGACUUUUACUCCAGUAAUAUCAAUGGCAACCAGGAGGUGGAAACGCACCCUAAAAGAUUGAGGCAAAAUUUCUUUAUGGAAGAUUACUUUUCAAAUGCUCAGGAUGGGAUUAACUACGACGCUACUAUGGUUCCUUCAAGUUCUUCAUGUGAAUUUGCUCCCAAAUUCUACAAAUUUCUUUGAAAUCCGUCCCUGCUAAUUGUGGAGAACUAAGGCUUGCGGCUCGCUUUCCCUCAAGCUGCGUCGACGUCUUCCAAAUCUGGGCAUCGACUAUCUGAUCUGUCGAGUCUCAUUUGCUUUGGGCAUCAACUUUCUGAUCUGCGAGUCUCAUGAGCCCAUCUCGCGACUUCAGUGGCGUCUUGCAGACUCACUCUACGCCAACCUCGGCCUUCUCCAUCUCGACACUCAUUGUGUUCAAUUCUGGCCUGAUCCUCCAAAUGAGAUAUUGAGUUUCCUCACAGCAGAUGCAGUGGUAGUGACUCUGUGUUAACUCAGGUUUCGAGCCUAUUCGUGUGACUAUAAUUGAGUUUCCUCACAGAAGAUGCACUCUAAUUUGGUCUCUUUGGAAAAACAGGAAUGAAGCGCUUUGGAAUUCUAAUCAGAUUACAAGCUCUGCUUCCUCCUUCCUGAAUCAGUGAUUAGCUGCCCAAGUUAGUGACCAUCCAUCCCAUUUUGACUACUCUUCGACAGUUUCUGUGGCUGAUUUGUUGAAAUGGCACAAGCCUGCUUCGGGAUUCUUGAAAUGCAAUACAGAUGCUUCCUCCCGUCCGCAUCAUAACAAAAUUGAGCAGGUUGGGUUCUUUGUGAUUGGAGAGGACAGCUGAUUAAGGCUUGCUAAUUGAGCUUCUUGGUCCACCUGAUCCGAAAAUCACUGAAGCUCUCUCUCUCCAAGAAGCUCUUAGCUUGAUUGAUGGAAGGGGCAUGCAUAUCACCUAAUUUAUUAACUUAUUCAACCUUGAUUGAAUGCUGAUGCUGUUCCUUAUCCUGCACUUAUAGAUGCCCAGUGCAAGAAUUUAUAAGUGAAAUCUGCUGUGACUUUAUUUGAUGAGAUGACUAAGCAGGGAAUCAAGCCUCAUGUUGUCACUUAUAAGGCAACUCAAGAAAACUACAGUGGCAAGCAGGAAAUUUUGUCCAUCUUAAAUGCUUGCAGGUGCGUAAAAUGCAGCAAUUGCUGUCGUUUUCUAUAAUAAGAUUACUACCAUGUUGUGAAUGUUUAAGAAUGAGAACAUGCUAUAUUUACACUGUAAUUUUGGUGCAUUAGCAUCUAAGGAAAAUUAAACUGUCAUUUUGGUGCAUUUGCAUCCGAGGAAAAUUUAUAUCUGUUGCAAAUUUUUAUCGUAUAUGAAAAGUAAAACCUGCAAACUGAUAAUACUAGUUCCAAUAUGGAAGCAAGUAUAAGUACUCCUGUAAUUUUAAUCUUGUUUUAAGUUCAGAAUUAGCAGGGUUAAUAUUGAUGUAUUGUUUUUCGCUCAUUGAGAGAAGUAUUGCUUUACUUUUUAUUUUUAGUUUCAUUAUUGUUCCUUAAUGGUGCAUGUGGCUUGUGGUCAAUGCUAAAUCAAGAAAUAUAUGCAUAGUGAAUAAUGGUGAAUGGAAGGUCACUGUUCAUGUUUCUAAGAUUUUAUGACCCUUUUGUGGCGUUUCCUUUGCUCUUUGUUCACUUCUACCUUCACAGUAAACCAUCAGCAUCAGAAACAAAUCAAGCAGUUUACUAUACUAGGAUUUCUUGUCAACAAUGACUAGCAGAAUUGCAAAUACCCUUCUAGUGGAUCUCUUGUAAAGUUUCUUGUAGCACAUAUUUAUAGGCAAAAGCAUGUCAAAAAUUGAGAUUAUCAGAUUUUUGAAGCGCUAAUAUAUUUCUUGCCUGUCACUUUUCUGCCUGCUUUGUAUCAUAUAGCUUGUUUCAGAUACGUCAGGGAUAUUUAAAAUCGAAUAUGGAUAUGUUUUGAUUUGUGUCUCUCUGGAUGCUGUCGCUGAGAUUCCUUUGGAGAUGCUUCGAUUUUAUUGGAGGAGCUUUGAUUAUUUGAUUAUCAGGAUUUGUUAAAUAAUUGACAUAUGGGAUGGAGAAAGCUGCUUUUAAAAUAAGGAUGGAGGACAAAUUUUAAUAAAUGAUUCAGUUGUGUAAUUCCUGCUGUCAUCCGCAAAAUCAUGCAAUGAUCUCUUGCAGAUCACUAAUGCUCACCACCGUUGUUGUCCUUUUUCUCCCCUAUACUUCCUUUCAAUGGUGUUGUUUGUUUGUUUCUUUUUUUUUUUUUUCUUUGCUUCUGGCUCGGAUUGAGUUGGUUAAAACAAUUUCAAUAUGAUAUUAGGAACAAUUGAACCUUAAACUGAUGGGUUGAAAAUGGAGUUCUGAACCUUGUAAUCAGAUAAUAAUGGAAAAUACCCUUUUAUCUCUCCCAAUUUUCACUCACUACAACACGUGGAUACAAAUUAACUAAAAUAAAAUAAUGAAAGAAGGGAAAUGGAAUUGAAAAACAGAA